GGGUGAUUAGCUCAGUUGGUAGAGCGCUUCGUUUACACCGAAGAUGUCGGCGGUUCGAGCCCGUCAUCACCCA
rnacentral:tRNA from 2 species